rnacentral:lncRNA from 1 species
AUUCUGCGAAGUAGUAUGGAAGUGGGGUCUGCAUACCAUUGCUGCUCUGUUCCCUGAAUUCAGUCCCUUUCUAAGGAGUAUGUAUGGGGGUCUAACCUCCUGCUUUUCCAGAGUUACAGCCACUUUUGCUGGAAAGCAUAGAUAUCUAAGGCCCCUGAGGCAUGUGCCUGAGCUGCUUCUCUGCCAAGACUCCGUAUGUGUCAGACUGAAGGCACUGGUGGAGUCGGUUCACAAGGAGAUCUUCUAACCCAAGAGUUGCAAAGAUCUGUGGGAGAAGAUCUUUGUGGGUUCCCCUGAUCACUCAUUCACUCACUGCUUCCCUAUGCAAGGAAGGUUCCCCUGGCUCCGUGUCACUCCCAGGUAUACAUCCAGAUGGCCUGAAGCAACUGAAGAAUCACAAAAGAAGUGGAAGUGGUCAGUUCCUGCCUUAACUGAUGACAUUACCUUGUGAAAUUCCUUCUCCUGGCUCAGAAGCUCCCCCACUGAGCACCUUGUGACCCCGGCCCCUGCCCACCAGCGAACAAGCCCCUUUGACUGUAAUUUUCCAUUACCUACUCAAAUCCUAUAAAAUGGCUCCACCUCUAUCUCCCUUCACUGACUCUCUUUUAGGACUCAGCCUGCC